AACGCUAGCUACAGGCUUAACACAUGCAAGUCGAGGGGCAGCAUGGUCUUAGCUUGCUAAGGCCGAUGGCGACCGGCGCACGGGUGAGUAACACGUAUCCAACCUGCCGUCUACUCUUGGACAGCCUUCUGAAAGGAAGAUUAAUACAAGAUGGCAUCAUGAGCCCGCAUGUUCACAUGAUUAAAGGUAUUCCGGUAGACGAUGGGGAUGCGUUCCAUUAGAUAGUAGGCGGGGUAACGGCCCACCUAGUCUUCGAUGGAUAGGGGUUCUGAGAGGAAGGUCCCCCACAUUGGAACUGAGACACGGUCCAAACUCCUACGGGAGGCAGCAGUGAGGAAUAUUGGUCAAUGGGCGAGAGCCUGAACCAGCCAAGUAGCGUGAAGGAUGACUGCCCUAUGGGUUGUAAACUUCUUUUAUAAAGGAAUAAAGUCGGGUAUGGAUACCCGUUUGCAUGUACUUUAUGAAUAAGGAUCGGCUAACUCCGUGCCAGCAGCCGCGGUAAUACGGAGGAUCCGAGCGUUAUCCGGAUUUAUUGGGUUUAAAGGGAGCGUAGAUGGAUGUUUAAGUCAGUUGUGAAAGUUUGCGGCUCAACCGUAAAAUUGCAGUUGAUACUGGAUAUCUUGAGUGCAGUUGAGGCAGGCGGAAUUCGUGGUGUAGCGGUGAAAUGCUUAGAUAUCACGAAGAACUCCGAUUG
rnacentral:rRNA from 1 species